GAAAUGCUCUCUGUCCGGGGGCUCGGGUCUAAUUGGCAAAAAGAAAAGAAAUAGGGGUCCCACAAUGCAGAUAUGACUGCUAGAAAAGGCAAAGCAAACUAAUUUGCGUUUUGAAAGUGCACGCGUGUGUAAGACCGUAGAAAUAUAAAAAAGACUCUGCUUGGUGUGCGCCUUUCCCCCUCGGGAGAGCGAGCGGUUGUUGCUGAAUCCCAGGGACUUAAGUGGGAUUAGGAGCUGCCUGCGCCUGCGUGGGGCAGAGAUGCUCUGCUCAAUGGUACCUGCGGUGCCACAGCAAUCAAAACAAAACAGCGCUGCAAACCAAAGGAGAGAAGAAGGGAAGGAGAGAGAAACAUCAAUCGGUUGCCUCCCACAUGAACCGAGACUGGGGAUUGAACCUGCAUCCUGGGCAUGUGCCCUGACCAGCGAUUGAACCAGCGACCUUUUGGUGCACUGGACAACGCUGAACCAACUGAACUACACUGGCCAGGGCAAUAACUAUUUUCUUUACACAUCAUACUCACGGAUAUUCUGAAUGGAGAGAUGUUCAUAGGGUGUUCUUCAUUAAGAGCAGGUACUUUAGAUAAGCACAUCUCUGUAUACCAGGAAAGUCUAGGAGAAAAGAGUAGUUUUUAACACCACAUUGAGACUAUAAUUGAAGCUGUAUUAAAUCGUAAUGUUUAUACUUAACUCCUGGAAUACAUAAACUUAAUGGAUUAUGUUGGAAUCUCUCCUCAACCUGACUUCUGAAGUUUAAUGAUUGUUUUUUUCCCUAGACAAUGAAAAGAAGCUGUUCCAUAUAAUAAUUUAUAUCACUCCAGACAAAACAUCCAGCUUGCCCUGCUUCACAGUACAGAACAAAAUGAACAUUGCACCCUCUGCAUUUUACUCAUGGUUUAAUUUUAGACCCUGACCUGCUGAAUUGGUUUUUAUUUGUCCUUCCCUUUUAUGCACCCCCUAGGAAGUCAGGAACUCAGCAGAAAAUGGUACCUGUUUCUCCAUAGACUGAGUAACUAAGGAGGAUUACUUCUCCUAGCCCUUCCCAUCUACCCUUGAAUUCCCAUGUCCUCGGCUACAAUCAGGUAUGUGUCAUCUGCAUGCUUCCAAUUUGGGGACAAAGAAUACUG